ACUCCAAAGUUCUACAGGUUCCUGCAAUCAGCACCUUUGUCUCCCCGCUUUCCACCCCACUACUCCUGGGUACAUUUUUGCUUACAACCACCAAAAGAUGAAGACAGGAAGAUUCGUACUACUUAAGGAGGGGGAUUUCUCGUCUCCGAGAUCAUGAUUCGGAAACUUCAGAUACGAAAUAUCCCGCCUCAUUUACAGUGGGAGGUGCUGGAUAGUUUACUAGUCCAGUAUGGAGUGGUGGAGAGCUGUGAGCAAGUGAACACUGACUCGGAAACUGCAGUUGUAAAUGUAACCUAUUCCAGUAAGGACCAAGCUAGACAAGCACUAGACAAACUGAAUGGAUUUCAGUUAGAGAAUUUCACCUUGAAAGUAGCCUAUAUCCCUGAUGAAAUGGCCGCCCAGCAAAACCCCUUGCAGCAGCCCCGAGGUCGCCGGGGGCUUGGGCAGAGGGGCUCCUCAAGGCAGGGGUCUCCAGGAUCCGUAUCCAAGCAGAAACCAUGUGAUUUGCCUCUGCGCCUGCUGGUUCCCACCCAAUUUGUUGGAGCCAUCAUAGGAAAAGAAGGUGCCACCAUUCGGAACAUCACCAAACAGACCCAGUCUAAAAUCGAUGUCCACCGUAAAGAAAAUGCGGGGGCUGCUGAGAAGUCGAUUACUAUCCUCUCUACUCCUGAAGGCACCUCUGCGGCUUGUAAGUCUAUUCUGGAGA
rnacentral:sRNA from 1 species